AAGAUACAUCCCAGAGUAAGAGUGUGAGUGCAAGAUACAUCCCAGAGUAAGAGUGUGACUGCAAGAUACAUCCCAGAGUAAGAGUGUGAGUGUAAGAUACAUCCCAGAUAAGAGUGUAGGUGCAAGAUACAUCCCAGAAUAAGAGUGUAGCUGCAGCAUACAUCCCAGGGUUAGAGCAAUUACAACAUUAUUUUUAGUUUUUAUUAUUAUUAUUAUUUUAUUUAUAUUAUUUUAUUUAUUGUGUGUGUGGGGGGGUCUAGAAAAGAAAAAAAGUUUUCCUUUCUGUGUGUAAAUUAUGCAUAUCAUUAAAAUAUAUUUUUAAGUUUUCUUUUAUGUCAUUUUAUACAAACUAGAAAGUGGCUUUACAUAAUUCUGUCAUGUGUAUGCUUUGAUUUCUUUUAUAUCUGUAAAUGUAAGUGCAUCUCCUAAAACUUGUGAUUAUUACAAUGAUGUACAACAAAGAGGUAUUUUAAUAAAUAUGAGUAGUCUA